rnacentral:tRNA from 1 species
GCUCCCGUAGCUCAGGGGAUAGAGCGUCGGUUUCCGAAGCCGUGCGCCGGGCGUUCGAAUCGCCCCGGGAGCACCA